rnacentral:lncRNA from 1 species
GCCAAGUCAAGGCUAAUCCAAAGCCGGUGUGUUGUUUAACUCCGUUGGCCUGGAUCACCAGAGCAGCAACAGCAGCAGAGAUUUCUGCAGGACCACCAUUUUCCCCUGCCAGUCUCCUGGGUGACCCCAGGCCGGAUAAGACCUAAGGCACUCUAAGUCUGAGACUUCUACUCCGGGUUAACGGUGGAGGUGAUGAGAAGGGUCAGACCUUGAAUAGAAUCAUGCAGAGUAUUAAGAGGGGUA